ensembl:snoRNA Snord91a small nucleolar RNA SNORD91 family
UGGAGAAGUCAAUGAUGGUUAUACCCAAGAUGUCUGAACCUGUCUGAAGCAUCUCAGUGAUGCAGUCUGUGGUUCUGAGACUUCCCUACCU